CCCCGAAGAGGCCCCUGCGGGUCCGCAGCAGUUCCGAAACGCGUUGGGCGUGGCCAUUCCCAGCCCGGGUCCGAGCUGUCAGCCUCUCCAAGGCCCGCCCGGGAGGAGCCAGGACUCGCCUAGCGCGGGCUCCAGCCGUUGCCAGCAUCCAGCUGCCAACUUUCUGCCUGGAUCUGUCUCCUCAUUUCUCCGGUCUCCUCAGACCGAAGCCCUUGGGGUAUGUAACAGCCAUGCCUGUGGACACACUGACUCCAGGAGCCCGGGACACCUCUGCCCUACCUUUCCGCCUGCGGACCAAAGUCCCCGGCUACCUGCUACGGAGGCCAGCAGAUGGUGGAGCCCGGAAACCUAGUGCUGUGGAGCGCCUGGAGGCCGACAAGGCCAAGUACGUCAAGAGCCUGCACGUGGCCAACACCCGCCAGGAACCUGUGCAGCCCCUGCUGUCCAAACAGCCACUCUUCAGCCCUGGGACUCGCCGCACAGUGCUCACACCUAGCCGCCGAGUCCUGCCUGGCCCUGGCCGCCGGCCCCAGCUGGACCUGGACAUCCUUAGCAGCCUCAUAGACUUGUGUGAUAGUCCCGCGUCCCCUGCCGAGGCCAGCCGUACGCCUGGACGGACAGAAGGAGCCCACCAGGCACCCCCAGCCACCCCUCCACGCCCGCCACCAAGUACGGCUGCCGUCCGCCGAGUGGAUGUCCGUCCCCUGCCCGCCUCACCUGCCGGGCCCUGCCCAUCGCCAGGCACUGCCACCGCCUCCGGCCCAGCCCGGCCCCCAGGUUUGCAGCGCUCCAAGUCGGAUUUGAGUGAGCGCUUCUCCAGAGCAGCAGCUGACCUGGAGCGAUUUUUUAACUUCUGCGGCCUGGACCCAGAGGAGGCCCGGGGGUUGGGUGUGGCCCACCUGGCGCGGGCCAGCUCAGACAUCGUCUCCCUGGCCGGGCCCAGUGGCGGGCCCGGCAGCUCCGAGGGGGACUGCUCGCGCCGCAGCUCUGCCACCGUGGAGGAGCGGGCCCGGGAGCGCGUGCCCUAUGGUGUGUCGGUGGUGGAGCGCAACGCCCGCGUCAUCAAGUGGCUGUAUGGGUUGCGCCAGGCGCGGGAUGCCCCGGCAGCCGAGGGCUAGGCCUCCACUGGGCUCGGCAUUUGCCACAGGACAGAUCUGAGAGAGGCAGCCGGCCCCUGACCUCUUCCACAUCCAUUCCCUGGCUUGGGGCAGACCGGAGGUUGCUGCCUUGUGUGAACUUGGUAUGGAGGCAGAGGCUCAGAGGCUGGACCAGCAUCCGUCUGGCAAGAACUGACCCUGGAGAGAGUUGCCUUUUGACCUUGGGCCACCCACUACCCCUCACGUGUAGGGGUUUUGACAUGCGUCCUGCCUGGUUCUCCUCGUGGGUUUGGAUUUGGGGCACUUAGCCUUCUCCGCUGAGAGUGAGGGGCCAGAGGAUCUUACUAGGCUUACCUAGUGGUUCUGUUUCCUUCUUCCUUGGCCUCUAACCUUUGCUGACUUCCUCUUCCUUUCCCAGUGGGUCCUGGUUCCCUGGGAACUUGCUCUGGGUGGAGGCAGGGCCUUGGCAGCCUGGCCUAGGUGGGUAGACUACAGGAAGGACUGGUGGGAGUCUGUACUGCUCUGACUUCCCUCCCUUUGGUUAAUAAACACAAAUGUUUGUUUUUCAAGGGCUGGGUCAUCAGACUCUUCUGUGUUCACAAGAGGAAGGGGAGGGAGACGUCUUGGGAUGGGGCCUUCAGAACUCCAUAAUUGUUCAUCCCAGGAUCUGGGAGAGGGGCAUGAGUUCAGUGUUUGGCCCGGCCUGAGACUUGAGACCUGAGAGGGGAUUCUCAUCACCCCCGCCCCCCCCCCCCUCCUGGCUGGCCUACAGGCCUCCUUCAUAAAGGAGGAAACUGGGUCUGGCCACAGAGUGAAUCUGGAUAGAGGCGGUACUGAGGUCUUUCCCCUGCAUCAGGAAGGGACCUGCAGGAGAAAAGCUGAUGGCUGCAUGGAUCCUUCCCAUCGCUACCCAGUUCCCAAGGGGGCAGGAAGCUCAAAGAGCACAGACCCUGAACUGGAGGUGACAGAGGCUGUAGACUGGGGGUUGGAAGCAGAUCUUAGAGGAAGAGGGAUUUGGGGUGGUCAGCACAAAACAGGCGGCCUUGCCUCCAACUCUGGGUGACCCGGGAUAAGCCAGUCUCCGUCUCUGGGCCUCAGGGGACUGGGGCAAGGGGAAGGAUGGCUGGUACUGGGCUUUGAGGUCUCAGCUCCUUCCUGUCUCCCUCCAGGCAGGUUCCCUGCUGGGAGAUGCCACCUUGGCUGGUAGGGCAGCCGGGGCUAGGGCCAGGCACGCAAAGAGUGAAAGCCUGGGUGGCCUCUGCCCACGCCCGGGGUGGGAGUGGGGAAGGGCUGGGUGGUGUUUCCUCCCUCAGGCUGUGUCGGCUGCAGCACUCAGAAACAGGAAGCUCUAAUGGGGGCCCUGGUGACAGGUUUGAUCUUCCCUCAUCAAGACCUGAGUCCCUGGAAUCUGGGCUGAGCCGUGUGACUUGCUUUGGUCAAUGGGAAAAAGGCAAAGCUUGAAAAGGCCUUGUGCCUGGGCCUUGCUGCCCCAGGGACUCCGAGACCACCAUGGGGGCAACCCAGCAGCCUGCGGAGAUGAGAGGAUGUGUGGCCCAGUUACCUCCACUCCCCUUGCCUAUAGCCCACCAGCAGCCAAGGGAAGGAGGCCUUCUACCACGCUGAUUGCAGACGGGAGAUGAACUCAGACACAAGCCCUUCCCACUGAGCCCAGUCCAAACUGUCAACCCUCGGAGCCAGGAGCCAACCCCCGGUUAGUUUAAGCCCACACAUCAUGGGGGACUUACACAAGCCACUUUCUUUCGCACAGAACACCUUGUCUUGGUUUCUGUUCAACAGGACAUCAGGCUCAGCUGCUCACAUCCAAGCCAGCUCCCGGAUGUCGGGCCUGCUCUCUCUUUCUCAACGGAAAUCAACGCUGGUAGGUCCGGGAGGAUUCCUUCUCCCUAAAGAUCUCCAGAUAUUACUCAGUUUGGAGCGACAGGCUCAUUCCCGCUCAAAUCGGGCGGCAUCUUUAGGUACUUUUCUUGGCCCAGAAGUCUUUCCUUUCCCAUUUACAUCUUCUAUUAACAAUAUCUUAAUCUCAGUUUUGGUAUUAAUUAUACACAAAGAGAUUAUCUUACUAACAAGAUAUUGUAAUAAUAAUAUUUAUCAACAUUUGCUAUGUACCAGGGGCUGUUCUAAGCAUAUUAUAUGUCUUAAUUCAAGGAUUCUUUUUUUUUUUUUUUUUUUAAGAUUUUAUGUAUUUGACAGAGAGAGGGAUAGCGAGAGCAGGAACACAAGCAGGGGGAGUAGGGGAGGGAGAAGCCGGCUUCCUGCUGAGUAGGGAGCCCGAUGUGGGGCUCGAUCCCAGGACCCCGGGAUCAUGACCUGAGCCGAAGACAGACGCUUAAGGACUGAGCCACCCAGGCACCCCUUAAUUCAAGGAUUCUUAACCUGGGGUCAUGCUGGGGUCCGUGAAUGGGAUUCAUCUUCAUUCACCUGUAAUUAAAUUCAGCACUUCCUUCGAUUAUGAAUGUGGGACACAAGCCACAGAGUGUCAGCAGAGCCUGGAACUUGGCCACCAUUAGAAAUCAUAGCUACUUUCAUAUCCUACCACAGUGGUUAUGGGUAUCUCCAAAUAUUGUUAGCACUCAUCAUUAUUUUGCAAUUACAGUACUUAUGAGAUCUUGAGACCACUAGAGCUUGUUAGUUAAGUGUUCACCAAAAAGCAUGUAUAGUACCAUAUCACAACUGUGUUCUUUAAAAAUAUUUUGAGGACCACUUUUUAAUUAAUAUAAUUUGUUUCCUUCAUAAUUCAAUGUAUUUUAUUUCAAGCAGUUGAAAACAGCAUUCUGAGAAGGGCUCCAUGAUUUCACUCGAUGCCAAAGGGAUCCACAGAAGGACACACACGAAGAGCCCUGUGCAUUGAUUUACUCCUCCAAUGACCCCACAGGCAGGUCUCAUUACCAGCUUGUUAACGGAGGGGACAUGAGGCACAGAGAAGAUGUGUAGUUUGCCCAAGAUCACACAGGUAUUGAGUGGUUGUGCAUUAUUAAAUCUGCCAGCUCUUUUCACAGCCUAUGGGUUGUGAUUAUCCCGAGGCAGGUGUCAGACACAUGGAUCUAUGGAUCUCCAUUUCUGCCUGUGGGUGUGUGUAAUGCGUAUAUGUAGAAAAGCGAACCACAAAUACUUGUCCAUUCUGGGCCUUCUGUCUGACUUCUGGGAUCCCUUCAGUAACUGCAUCCUCAUAUCCUUUGGGCCCUCAGGGCUGAAGGGCUGGGCUGGGGAGGGCUCAGGGGCCCAGCGGGGGUGAGGUGGGCAGCAGGUGAAGGUGGGGUAGGAGGGCCAGCAUAACUCCAGGGUUUGGCCUCUGGCCAGCAGCUACUCUUGUGACCUGGACAGCUUGGGGGGGCGGGGAAUCUGGAGGAAAGAGGAUGCAGGUCCCACAGUGAGACCAGUGAGACCCCUGGGACUUGUGAGUCGAGAACACCUGAGACCAUGGUCCCUGUGCCAGGCUGCCUGGGUGGGGGCGCUGUGGGCAGCUCGAAGGGAAAGCAGCCCUCGCGUGAGCUCCUGGGCUCUCAACACUCCACUGCAACACCCCUUCCUUUCGGAGCCCAGACAUGUGGGUUUUCCCGGCAUCCAGCAGUUCUGCGACACCAGCUGGGUGUCCCACCACUUAAGUCCAUUCUGACACCCAGGACCGCCCUCCCUUCCCGUCAGAUGGCAGUUUCAAGUUCAAGUUGUCUCCUGUGCUUCUGAGUGCGGGCUAUCAAGCAGAGGUUCCCAAGACGCCCUCCUCAGGUUUGACGAAUCGCUAGAGCAGCUCCCAGAACUCAGGGAAACAGUUCACUUCCUAGAUCACCUGUUUGUCAUAAGGGGAUAUGACUCGGGAACGUGGAAGAGAUGCGUGGGGCAGGGUAGGAGGGAAGGGGGCGGAGCUUCCAUGUUCCCUGGGGUGUGUUUCUCAACCUGCUGCUCCGUGUGCUCACUAACUCUGCAGCUCUCUGGAGCCUGGACUUUGGGAUUUGUAUGGAGGCUUCAUUACAGGAGCAGGAUUGAUGAAAUCAUUGGCCAUAGGCCGAGGAUUCCACCUCCAGCUCCUGGCCACGGCCCACUGCCUGGGGGUGCCCGUGGGGUGGGGCCAAAAGUCUGAGCCUGGUUGGUUCCCGUGGCAACCAGCCCCCAGCCUUGGGGCUUCCCAAAGAGUCACCUCAUGAACAAACACGCAGGUGAGUAAAAAGAAAUUCCUUCACCUUCAGGGCUGGGAACAUUUUUCAGGAACCAAUGACAAACCACCAAAUAUGACAAAAGAUGCUCUCCUGGAUCUUAUUGCUCAGGAAAUUCCAAGCAUUUAGGCACUGUGUGCCAGAAAUGGAGAUGAAGACCGAAUCUGUAUGUUUCUUAUGAUAAAUCAUAACAUCACAGGAACCUAGUAAAGCCUGCUGCCCACACAGGGGUGCUGGAGCCCCUAUCCUGAAGGCAGUGAGUCCCAGAAAGGCCUUUGGAUAUGGGCCAUCCCAGUCAAAGAGCGGAAGACUCCUCCUACCCCAUGGGCCCUGGGACAGGGGUCAAGUAGAAGAGUCCCUUUGAUCACAACUCUGGUUAGUUGUUUUCUUCCCAAAGGUGAAGUGACAUUAGUAAAAAUAAUACAUAUAUGUCCCAUGGAUUAUUUAUCCUCAUACCUGUGUCACAUUGGAUCAAUCAUUACAGUUUUGUGAGGUGCUUUAUAAGGAGCCGAGGCAGAUGGAAAAAUCACAGCAAGUCACUUUAUCUCAUUUUCUUAUAUAAAGAACAGGGACAGGGGCACCUGGGCGGCUCAGUCAGUUAAGCGUCUGAUUCUUGGUUUCGGCUCCAGUCAUGAUCUCAGGGUCCUGAGAUUGAGCCCCACGUCAGGCUCCGCGCUCAGUGAGGAAUCUGCUUGUCCUUUUCCCUCUGCUCCCCGCCUCAAAUAAAUAAAUAAAAUCUUUAAAGAACAGAGACAAUUAUGUGCUGAGCUGUGUGGACUAAAUGAAAUAUUGUAUCUUCUCAGUUCUAAAUGGUAGCCUCUAUGUCUGGUGGACGCUCUGUCUGAGGAACUUUGGACAUGAAGAGAAAGCAAUAGCUUGUAUUUUAUCUAGUGUCUAAUUCAAUAACUUUUCUUUUUUUAAAACAGCUUUACUGAAGUUAAAUUGACAUGUGAUAAACUGCCCAUAUGUAAAGUGAAUCAUCUGAUAAGUUUUAACGUGUGUACCUCUGAAGCCGCCUCCACGGUCAAGGUGAUGAGCGUGUGCAUCCCCCAUGAGUGUUUCCACCUGUGUAGCUUAGAGGACAGUGUUGUCUCAGAGCAGGGGCUCUGAAAGCUCUCGUUUUUCUGUGAUUUAUUUUUAUUUUAUUUUUUUUAAAGAUUUUAUUUAUUUAUUUGACAGAGAGAGACAUAGCGAGAGAGGGAACACAAGCGGGGUAGUGGGAGAGGGAGAAGCAGGCUUCCCGCGGAGCAGGGAGGCCGAUGCGGGGCUCGAUCCCAGGACCCUGGGACCACGACCUGAGCCUAAGGCAGACCCUUAACUGACUGAGCCACCCAGGCGCUCCUGUGAUUUUUUUUUUUUUUAAGAUUUAUUUAUUUAUUUGGGAGAGAGAGAUAGCGAGAGCCAGUGGGGGGAGGGGCAGAAGGAGAGGCAGAGAGAGAACCUCAAGCAGGCUCCACGCUGAGUGGGGGAGCCUGACUCAGGACUCGAUCUCAUGACCCUGAGAUCAGGACCCUGAGAUCAUGACCUGAGCUGAAACCAAGAGUCGGACGCUUAACUGACUGAGCCACCCGGGUGCCCCGGCCUGUGAUUUUCAGAAAAGAUGAGAAUAGUUGUCCAGGGCAGAUCACUACAGCAUGGUUUCAUUGCAAAGCCCAGGAAGGACCACACCGGACACCUGGCAUCCUCUGCUGACUCCUGAAACCCCUCACAGCUGUGCUCUUGUGCAGUUUGGGCUUCUCUAAGCUGCAGGUAGGCUUGAGCAAAACCAGACCUUCUACUGGUUCAAGGAGCUGAAAAGUCCGCAGUGAUGCUGGCUUCAGGUGAGGCCUGGUUCAAGACACCAGACAUUAUCCCCAGACCCUGCUUUUCCCUUGUCCUCAUGCACAGGUAGGCAUUUCUUGGAAAGCAAAAUAGCAUUAGUCCUAAGCAAUGUGGGAGAUGAAGCUGGAAAGGUAGCAAGGUGUUGGAUGCUCCGCACCCUUGCCCUUGGAGUUCUCUUCUUUACUCUGGAGUCUGGUGACCAUGGGCAGCCACGGAAGGAUUUCGAGCAUGAGAAUGACCUGAUUUUAUUUGAGUUCUGAGAAGAUUCCAUCAGCCAUGAUGCAGGGUCAGAAUCGUCAUGACAAACAAAUUCUUUCUCUAGAAAUCCUUUCUUGUAGGAGAAUCACAGUGGAGUUAGCACCAGGCAGCAUUCUUGGCGCUUUUCUUUUGGAAUCUCACAUCUUCCCACAUUCCCUGGGAAAAAUGUGUAUCGCUUAAAAUUUUAAAUCCCAAAUAACAGUGGCUUGAAGACAAUAAAAGUCUGUUUCUCACUGUGUAUGGUGGUCCAGGGCUGGUGUAGCAGCUCCGCAGUCAAAAGAAAUCCCAACUCCUUCCAUCAUUCUGCCUCCAGCCCAGUUUGUGGCUUCUAUCUAUCAGCUCACCUCAUGGCCCAAGCUGCUGGUGCUCCAGCCAUCACACCUGCACCUCAGGUAAAAGAAAAGGGGGAGGGCAAAGGAGUCCACCUUCUGGUGGGUCAGCUUUCCUAUUUUCCUGACUUGACAUCUCUUCUUACCUAUUAUUGUCCAGAACCUGGCACAUGAUCUACUUUAAUAUCAAAGAAUUCUGGGAAGUGUGACCUUUAUAGGGGCACAUUGCCACCCAAAGUGGGGCAUGUGUGUGUGUGUGUUUAAAAGGUUGUAUAUUCUUUGGCACUCUUCCCAUUGAGAGGUGGGAUCUAUGACCUACUCCCCAAAUCUGGGCUGGGGCUCUGUGAGGGCGUUGACCACUAGAAUAGGCGGAAGCGAUGUUUUUAUAGUGUGAUUUAGCAUCCAGGUCAUAAAAGGCCUCAAGCUCAAGCUGCAGGUAGGCCUUACCAUGUACCUUCCAUUUGGCUUAGGAACCAGGAAAGGCUUUGUGGACCUACGACCUAUUUAGUGGCAUAGGGCCCUGUGCUCAGAAGGGUCAUUCACUUGUUUUCAUGCUCUGCUACAGUCUUGAAAUUCUUAAUGAGUGUUGUAUCUUUGAACUUGUGUUUUGUAAGUGAAGUCUGAUGGCACAGUGAAGCACAUGCCUAUGUGGAGGGUAGAUGUACACUAGCUCCCUGCCACUCUAUUUGUGUGUGUGUUUGGGAUGCCUGCUACGCGGCUUCCAUAACACGCUUAACCUUGUACAUAGGGUCCCAUGCUCAGAAGGGCUCAGCAGAGUAUUAAAACAAUUAAAAUUAAAAACAAUUUAAUUGUUUUAAUUGUUUUAGUGCUCUGCUAUCACAUCUUGAAAUUCUUUUUUUUUUAAAUAUUUAAUUUAUUUAUUUGACAGAGAGAGAAGGAACACAAGCAGGGGGAGUGGGAGAGGGAGAAACAGGCUCCCUGCUGAGCAAGGAGCCCGACACAGGGCUCGAUCCCAGGACUCUGGGAUCAUGACCCGAGCUGAAGGCAGAUGCCUAACGACUGAGCCACCCAGGAGCCCCACAUCUUGAAAUUCUUAAUUUCAUCUUUGAACUUGUGUUUUGGAAGUGAAGUCCGAUGGGACAGUGGCUGCUGCAUGUGAGCAGAACAUGCAGUAAGGGCGUCCACCGUUCACAUACAGUGCCCACCGUUCACAUACAGUUUCCACUGUUCACAUACGGUGCCCACCAAUCACAUACGGUGCCCACCGAUCACAUACAGUGUCCACUGUUCACACAUAGUGCUCACCAUUCACAUAAAGUGUUCACAAUGCCCCAUGAGCAUAGAAGUCUAGUGAGCUCACAUCACGUGGAUGUUCGGAGGGCCUCCAAGUGGGUACAAGGUAAGCCUGUGAUGUCUAGGAUUGAGUAAGUAGGGGUACAGCCCACAGAGGCCAUGCUUUCUGUUCCAACUAGAAGUACCUUUGGUGGCAGAAAAGAGGCACUAACAUUCCAGAAAACCACAGACAACCCAGGAAGCUGAUCGCAUCCUUUCCUAUCCAUGUGACUUCCUGUAUUAGCCAACCACCUGCACUGAGAUGAUGACCCACAGAGGAAGGGGAGGACAGGGUACCCCUCAGUCCCUUUCCUUUCAGUCUUCUUGACCCAUGAUAAACAGGAGGUAGAGUGUUGAUAGAAGGUGUACACAUCAAGAAGUGAAAUAAAAGUGGUCCAUUGGUUUGGUGCAGUAUUUCCACAGUCUUGCUAAGAAUGAAAUACACACACACACACACACACACACACGAGCUCUGAAAUACUAAUUUUGUAAUUUCAGUGACUCCACCUAUGAGUUAAAUGCUCUCACAUCUGCAUUCAAAACUGUCAUUGUACCAUAUAAAGAUGAAUGGUAAAAUUUAUGCUAAUAAUUUAAAUUAAAAAAAUUUUUAGAACAACAUUAAGUAAAUAAAUAAAAACACCAUGACAAGUUGAGAGAGAGACUGUAGAAGAAAGGAAGAAACACAUUUUCCUAAGGUUUGAACCAUGGGCUCCACAUUUUCAUUUUGCACUGGGCCCUGCAAAUUAUGUUCCUGGUCCUGUUUGGAAUGCUUGCUGUCAGGAUGCUUCCUCUCAGAAUCCAGCCGCCAUGUUGUGAGGAAGCCCAAAGCAUGAGGGAAAGGGCCUAUGUGGAUGCUCCAGUCAGCAGUCCCCCGCAAGCCCCACCUCGGAGUCAUCCCAGCCCAGGUGACAGAAACAAAGCCUCCAGAUGAUUCCAUCCCCACGUCUCCCAGCAUUCCCCCAACCUCAUCCCAACUUCCAGACGCCUCCAUCCAUCUGGGUCUUCCAGCUGAAGCUCGGCUGUCAUGACAUUGAGACACGCCCUCCCUGCAAUACCCAGUCUGGAUUCUUGACCUACAGAAUCCCUGAGCAAAAUAAAUCCACGGCUGUUAUUUUUCUGCCCCUGAGAUUGCUGUAGUUUGAUAUGCAGAAAUAAAUUACCAUAGUUUAUUCGUUUGGGUUGAUUCCCAUCUUUGGUUAAUACAAAUGAAGCUGCAAUGAAUAACUGUGUGCAUGUAUUAUGUAUAUUUAGGACAGAUUCCUAGAAGUGAGGAUUACUGUGUCAAAGGGUAAAUGCAUAAGUAAUUUUGUUAGCAGUGGCCAAAUUCCUCUCUACAUUCUUAUUUUCUCCCUAAAUAGCUUUGUGUUUGCAGUGUACAUGUGG